GUAGAUUAAUAGAUUAUCUAGUAAAAUAACUAUGAAGAAGUUUGUGCAGGUACUAUUUAGUCUUUGGUUGGUCCUUCUGUUUGGUUUGCUAGAUGGUAAACCUCCCCACACCAGUAAUCGAUUAAUAAUGGACGCGAGUGCUGGUCAGAUGUUCCCAUCUACUCCAUACUACCUUAUGCCAAGGCAUCAUGAAUUAGGUGCUGGUGGCAUCAAACUCAUCAAGACUGGAAACUCAACUUACCCAAAUACUAUUUUGUAAUAUUUUCCAAACGACAACUUUGGCCUCCCAAUUCAUUUGUACAUAUCUGUAAUAAGCCUCCUUCUCAUCUUUGAAGGUAUUCCACUGGCUAUUUGUAUGGAACAGAAUCCAGCUUGUGUUAUAUCGUCGGUUUCUGUUCCUAUAGAGGGAUCUGGAAAUCCAAACUCCUCAAGAUGGUUGGUGUUUGUGGACAAUUCAAUCCAAAAGACAUGUGUGGGUACUGGUGGUCCUGAAGCUCAUCCAGGCCUACUAACGUAUAGUGGCACUUUUCACAUUGAGAUCCUAGAAAAGGAUCCUCUUAGAUACAACUCUUACAAGCUUGUGUUUUGUUUCGCGGGCUCAGACUACAAAAAUUGUUCCUAUAUUGGGACCUAUGAUAAUGGUGAGGGUGGAAGACGUUUGAUUCUCACUGAGACUAAUCCCUUCUUAUUUUCCUUUUUUCAUAUAUAUAAUAACUCUGAUGGGACUAUUAAGUCCGUAGGUUGAAUGACAUAUCUCAGGACUAGAUUAGAUUAAGAUUAGAUGGUCUUGAGUGAAUGCAAUCACAUACUUUGUUGUUUUGAUCUGCAUUAACUCUGCUCCAAAUAAAACCUCAAUGCAAACAUUGAAUAAGUGGAAUGAAUAAUUAAUGGUUAUGCUUUCUUGUAUUCC